rnacentral:rRNA from 1 species
GACGAACGCUGGCGGCGUGCUUAACACAUGCAAGUCGAACGAAGAGCGACGGAAGCUUGCUUCUAUCAAUCUUAGUGGCGAACGGGUGAGUAACGCGUAAUCAACCUGCCCUUCAGAGGGGGACAACAGUUGGAAACGACUGCUAAUACCGCAUACGAUCUAACCUCGGCAUCGAGGAUAGAUGAAAGGUGGCCUCUACAUGUAAGCUAUCACUGAAGGAGGGGAUUGCGUCUGAUUAGCUAGUUGGAGGGGUAACGGCCCACCAAGGCGAUGAUCAGUAGCCGGUCUGAGAGGAUGAACGGCCACAUUGGGACGGAGACACGGCCCAGACUCCUACGGGAGGCAGCAGUGGGGAAUCUUCCGCAAUGGACGAAAGUCUGACGGAGCAACGCCGCGUGAGUGAUGACGGCCUUCGGGUUGGAAAGCUCUGUUAAUCGGGACGAAAGGCCUUCUUGCGAAUAGUGAGAAGGAUUGACGGUACCGGAAUAGAAAGCCACGGCUAACUACGUG